rnacentral:rRNA from 1 species
UGGGGAAUAUUGCACAAUGGGGGAAACCCUGAUGCAGCAACGCCGCGUGAAGGAAGACGGUCUUCGGAUUGUAAACUUUUGUUCUUGGUGAAGAAUAAUGACGGUAGCCAAGGAGGAAGCCACGGCUAACUACGUGCCAGCAGCCGCGGUAAUACGUAGGUGGCAAGCGUUGUCCGGAAUUACUGGGUGUAAAGGGAGCGCAGGCGGGAAAUCAAGUUGGAUGUGAAAUCCCGGGGCUUAACCCCGGAACUGCAUUUGAAACUGUUCCCCUUGAGUAUCGGAGAGGCAAGCGGAAUUCCUAGUGUAGCGGUGAAAUGCGUAGAUAUUAGGAGGAACACCAGUGGCGAAGGCGGCUUGCUGGACGACAACUGACGCUGAGGCGCGAAAGCGUGGGGAGCAAACAGGAUUAGAUACCCUGGUAGU